rnacentral:snoRNA from 1 species
CCAUGUGAUGAAAGAACGACAACAGGGAUUCCUCGAACCGAACUAUAAUGUGGAUUCAUUGUUUUUGUUUCAGCCUUGUCUGAUG